rnacentral:rRNA from 1 species
AUAGCGUAUAUUAAAGUUGUUGCAGUUAAAAAGCUCGUAGUUGAACCUUGGGCCUGGUUGGCCGGUCCGCCUCACCGCGUGUACUGGUCCGACCGGGUCUUUCCUUCUGGGGAGCCGCAUGCCCUCACUGGGUGUGUCGGGGAACCAGGACUUUUACUUUGAAAAAAUUAGAGUGUUCAAAGCAGGCCUAUGCUCGAAUACAUUAGCAUGGAAUAAUAGAAUAGGACGUGUGGUUUUAUUUUGUUGGUUUCUAGGACCGCCGUAAUGAUUAAUAGGGAUAGUCGGGGGCAUCAGUAUUCAAUUGUCAGAGGUGAAAUUCUUGGAUUUAUUGAAGACUAACUACUG